rnacentral:rRNA from 1 species
CUCGUAGUUGAAAUACUGACAUAGUCGACCGGUCUCACGCAUUGUCGUGAGCACUUGUGUUGUAUUAGGUCAUUCUUGGAUUUUAGCCAGUCUGGCAUUAAGUUGUCGGGUUGGUGAAAACCAUCGUUUACUGUGAAAAAAUUAGAGUGUUCAAAGCAGACUUAUGUCGUUGAAUAGAUUAGCAUGGAAUAAUAAUAUAGGACUUUUGUACUAUUUUGUUGGUUAGGUGUAAAAGUAAUGAUCAAUAGGGACAGUUGGGCGUAUUCGUAUUUCGUUGCUAGAGGUGAAAUUCUUGGAUUUCCGAAAGACGAACUACUGCGAAAGCAUUUACGAA